rnacentral:rRNA from 1 species
CCUACGGGUGACAGCAGUCGAGAAUCAUUCACAAUGGGGGAAACCCUGAUGGUGCGACGCCGCGUGGGGGAAUGAAGGUCUUCGGAUUGUAAACCCCUGUCAUGUGGGAGCAAAUUAAAAAGAUCGUACCACACGAGGAAGAGACGGCUAACUCUGUGCCAGCAGCCGCGGUAAUACAGAGGUCUCAAGCGUUGUUCGGAAUCACUGGGCGUAAAGCGUGCGUAGGCUGUUUCGUAAGUCGUGUGUGAAAGGCGCGGGCUCAACCCGCGGACGGCACAUGAUACUGCGAGACUAGAGUAAUGGAGGGGGAACCGGAAUUCUCGGUGUAGCAGUGAAAUGCGUAGAUAUCGAGAGGAACACUCGUGGCGAAGGCGGGUUCCUGGACAUUAACUGACGCUGAGGCACGAAGGCCAGGGGAGCGAAAGGGAUUAGAUACCCGGGUAGUC